GGCACGAUGGCAGAGUGGUUAUUGCGUAAGACUAGAAUCAAGAAUCAAUAUUGAUCUAAUCAUCUUAUUCCUUCGGGAGCGUAGGUUCAAGUCCUACUCGUGUCG